CGACGACUUCGAGAGGGGCGUAGAGAGAGGGCCCUCUCUUUCCCGCCGCCCAAAAAUCUCUGCCGUUGAUUCAAUUCCGGUAUGUGAAAUUCAUGUAGUUGAUGAUUCGCUGGCCUUAGGGUUCGUGUCAUCUUAUCUCAGAUCUACUUGCAAAUGGCUCAGAUCUACCUCCAUCUUUACCUCCUUGGCGGCUCUCUCACAGACCAAAGGAAGCCAUGGCCGCCGUGCAUGUCGUAUCCUGCCCUCCCCGGCUUGGCAGUGAAUCGAAUUAGGUCGAAUAUAUUCUCGCAUAGAUUCACAUGAAAAACCCAGUCCAGACUAUCUGCUGCAACAAUGGCUGUAGGGGAGCCCAGAGCACCAAAGUAAUAAAUUCACAUCUCCAUGUUUGGGCUUUUCCUCAGAAGGCUGCUGGUAUCCUUACUUUCCUGGCC